AUCAUCCUGAGAUUCUGACCUGUGUGUCAUCAUUUUUGCUACUUAAUAUUCACACAUGGAUGUUUGAGUUCAUUUUUUGAUGCUUGAGUUAAUUAUAUUGUGUGUUUGUGUUUUCUGAAUGAGAACAUGGUUAACCCUGUGCAGAACGAUGGUGUUUUUGUGUAGAGUUUUGCAGAAAACACUGAGCAAAUGGGAACUUAUGUACAAACAGGUGAAAUGUGUUAAAAGUUUUGAGAAAUGUGUCUUUGUUUCAACAACUGUAUGAAUGGUCUGGAAAACUGGGCCAAAUGAAUCAGUGUGUUAGCAAUAAAUAAAAACUGUAAUAUCAUUCUGCUUCAGUAAAUGCUAAUUUCCCAUUAAGUUUUUUUUUUUUUAUCAUGCAGGAAUCAUUAUGGAGUUUACAUAUGAACUGAACUGGGUGAAAAGUAAAGGUGAAAAAUGUGCAGCUGGUGCUCCAGCACUGAAAAACACUGUAUAAAAAACAUAUGUUUUAUAUUCUCUUGAAUUAUGGAAUAAUUCAUCAGAGUAAGAUUUACUCUCAUUUUACAAUAUAACACUACACUAUGCUAUAUAGUGGUGGAGUCUUCAGUUCCUGUCUUAGCCCCUACUAGUGGACAGAACCUGGCACAUCCUUCAAUUCCACCCUUAGCACCUUCUGGUGUACUGAUGCAAGCAGAGCCUUUAGCUCCACCCAAGCCUGUUUUGUCUGACAACAUAACUUCUCCUAGUCCUGUACUACGGAGCUCCGCACAUGGCAUACAGGGGAAAAAGUAGGCUAAAUCGUGCGCACGAUUUACUAUUUCGUUCCCUCGAUUCAUAAAUUGUAUGCAAGAUUUACUAAUUGGUUCCCUCGAUUUGCUAAAUCGUGUACACGAUUUAUAAAUCGAGGGAACGAUUUGGUAAAUUGUGCGCACGUUUUAUUUAUUUUUUCUUGCAUGUCAUGUGCGAGGCUCCGUACUGUUCUGUCCAGUUUGCCUCUGUUUCCACUACACUACAAGAGGUUUGUUUGUAUCAAGCCAUUGCUGGAGGGAUGUUGUAUUCAUGGAUUGAAGCCCGUUGCACACAGUCCCGAAUAACUGGC
ensembl:lncRNA